AAAAAAAAAACAUCUUGUUCUCUCUUUAUUUUCCCUCUCCAUUAUCUCUCUCAUCUAAGCUUUAAAACUUCAACCAUGGCGGACAUUAGAGACGAAGUCAAACAACCGAAGCAAAUUUCACCGAAAAAAAGUAGCGAAAAUCAAAAGAGAAACAAAUUGAUAGUUUAAUAACUGAAAAUGUAUAUAUUUUGGAGAAAUCUAUUUCAGAGAACAGAAACAACGAUUCUUCAAAAAUGUAGACCAAAUCAGGAAGCUGAGGAUGCAAUACACAACUCAACUAAUGCUUUUGAAGAAAACACUGAAUGUAGGAUCAACAAAAGAUUAUCAAGAAAAAUUACAAAAGAGUAGUAUUACAUGUUCAUUUAUAAAUUUAUAUAUGUUCAUUUAUACAAAGAUAUAUGUUCUUAUAUGUGU